ensembl:miRNA
ACGAAUGGCUAUGCACUACACAACCCUAGGAGAGGGUGCCAUUCACAUAGACUAUAAUUGAAUGGCGCCACUAGGGUUGUGCAGUGCACAACCUACAC